rnacentral:rRNA from 1 species
CCAUGCAGUCGAGCGGGGGAGAUUGCUUCGGUAAUUGACCUAGCGGCGGACGGGUGAGUAAUACUUAGGAAUCUGCCUAUUAAUGGGGGACAACAUCUCGAAAGGGAUGCUAAUACCGCAUACGCCCUACGGGGGAAAGCAGGGGAUCACUUGUGACCUUGCGUUAAUAGAUGAGCCUAAGUCGGAUUAGCUAGUUGGUGGGGUAAAGGCCUACCAAGGCGACGAUCUGUAGCGGGUCUGAGAGGAUGAUCCGCCACACUGGGACUGAGACACGGCCCAGACUCCUACGGGAGGCAGCAGUGGGGAAUAUUGGACAAUGGGGGGAACCCUGAUCCAGCCAUGCCGCGUGUGUGAAGAAGGCCUUAUGGUUGUAAAGCACUUUAAGCGAGGAGGAGGCUCUCUUGGUUAAUACCCAAGAAGAGUGGACGUUACUCGCAGAAUAAGCACCGGCUAACUCUGUGCCAGCAGCCGCGGUAAUACAGAGGGUGCGAGCGUUAAUCGGAUUUACUGGGCGUAAAGCGUGCGUAGGCGGCUUUUUAAGUCGGAUGUGAAAUCCCCGAGCUUAACUUGGGAAUUGCAUUCGAUACUGGGAAGCUAGAGUAUGGGAGAGGAUGGUAGAAUUCCAGGUGUAGCGGUGAAAUGCGUAGAGAUCUGGAGGAAUACCGAUGGCGAAAGCAGCCAUCUGGCCUAAUACUGACGCUGAGGUACGAAAGCAUGGGGAGCAAACAGGAUUAGAUACCCUGGUAGUCCAUGCCGUAACGAUGUCUACUAGCCGUUGGG